rnacentral:rRNA from 1 species
UACGAAGGGGGGCUAGCGUUGUUCGGAUUUACUGGGCGUAAAGCGCACGUAGGCGGAUAUUUAAGUCAGGGGUGAAAUCCCGGGGCUCAACCCCGGAACUGCCUUUGAUACUGGGUAUCUUUGAGUCCGGAAGAGGUGAGUGGAAUCCGAGUGUAGAGGUGGAAAUUCGUAGAUAUUGGAAGAACACCAGUGGCGAAGGCGGCUCACUGGCGUGGUAUGACGCUGAGGUGCGAAAGCGUGGGGAGCAAACAGG